rnacentral:rRNA from 1 species
UACCUCAUAGUAUGUGAAGAAUCGCAGUUGGUUUUCACAUUAAAGUCACAACGGCAAAAAGAUGAGCAUGCGUCCCAUUAGUUAGUUGGUAAGGUAACGGCUUACCAAGACUACGAUGGGUAGGGGUCCUGAGAGGGAGAUCCCCCACACUGGUACUGAGACACGGACCAGACUCCUACGGGAGGCAGCAGUGAGGAAUAUUGGACAAUGGGCGCAAGCCUGAUCCAGCCAUGCCGCGUGCAGGAUGACGGUCCUAUGGAUUGUAAACUGCUUUUGUACAGGAAGAAACACCUCUACGUGUAGAGACUUGACGGUACUGUAAGAAUAAGGAUCGGCUAACUCCGUG